GGCCCCUUAGCUCAGCUGGAUAGAGCAACUGCCUUCUAAGCAGUAGGUCGCAGGUUCGAGCCCUGCAGGGGUCG
rnacentral:tRNA from 1 species